GAUGAAGAACGCAGCGAAAUGCGAUACGUAGUGUGAAUUGCAGAAUUCAGUGAAUCAUCGAAUCUUUGAACGCACAUUGCACCUCUCGGUAUUCCGGGAGGUAUGCCUGUUCGAGCGUCAUUUGUACCCUCAAGCUCUGCUUGGUGUUGGGUGUUUGUUCCGCCUCUGUGUGUGAACUCGCCUCGAAACAAUUGGCAGCCGGCGUACUUGUUUCGGAGCGCAGCACAUUUUGCGAUCCAGAUCCACGUACAGCGGCAUCCAAGAAGCCUUAUUUAACGCUCUUGACCUCGGAUCAGGUAGGGAUACCCGCUGAACUUAAGCAUAUCAAUAAGUGGAGGA
rnacentral:misc_RNA from 1 species